CGCGUAGGCGGUCUGAUAAGUCAGUUGUGAAAGCCCGGGGCUCAACCCCGGAAGUGCAAUUGAAACUGUCAGGCUUGAGUAUGGUAGAGGGAAGUGGAAUUCCUGGUGUAGCGGUGAAAUGCGUAGAUAUCAGGAGGAACACCGGUGGCGAAGGCGACUUCCUGGACCAAUACUGACGCUGAGGCGCGAAGGUGUAGGGAGCAAACAGGAUUAGAUACCCUGGUAGUCC
rnacentral:rRNA from 1 species